AAACAAUGUAGCUUGUAAUAUUGGGUAUCGUCAUAGUUAAUGAUUUACCCAAAAAUCAAAUUAAUAAUUGUGUUUGCUAGCAAACGAAAAAAAUUGACAUCAAUUACAUCGACAAGUAAUACAACGUAAGUAGACGAAAUAAUAUUGUACUUUUUAUAUAUAGGUACUUUUACGUUUCUGCGUGUGUUCUUUUUCCUUAAUUCUUUUAUUAUUAGUUUACUUUUAAUCUGUACCUUUAUAACAUUACUCAAAAAGCAUUCAUCACGUCUCGUUCAAAUUUUAAUGUGGCCACGUAACAAACACAACGUAAUUCGACGAAAAAAAUAGUCAAGUAAAUACGCAUUAAUAGAUAUAACUCGAAAAGUACUUGUCAGAUGUAAAUUAAAUUUAAAUGGGACCACAUGACACGCACCACCUUUCGACUAAAAAAGUCAUCGAAAUCGGUCCACAUAGUCAAAAGUUCUGAGGUAACAUAGAUU
rnacentral:misc_RNA from 1 species